rnacentral:piRNA from 1 species
UNGUCAACAGAAGCUACUAAGUGAAAGGGCA